CCAAAAAAACAGACCCUUUUGUGUUAAAGUGGAAGGAGAGGGUCAUCCCUCAAGGCCUCUAUUGUGGAUUGGUCCUUCGCUUACUCCAGGAGGAGGCAAUUGGCAGUGAAUGCUUCAUUGACGUCAAAUAGCAAUUUAGAAAUGCCAUCACUCUCCCUUGCAAGUCAAAAUUUGGUGGCUCCCUUUUAUUAGUUGAUGCUACUUCUCAUCUUGAGGUCUAUUUUUCUGGCAAGGUUGAGAACUGCCCUAAUAUUCGUAACAUCAUCUUUAAACAGGUGAUUGAGGCUGCGAAAGCGUUUCAUUAUGACCUCAGUUCAUCUCGUCCUGAUAUCUGUUUCAUUGAUAGUAGUAAGAAGAUAGUACCACUUGCCCAUUGCCCUAUACACAGCAAGGCAUGGUUAAAAAAGGACGAAAACCCUGCUCCAAUUACUGUUGAGGAUGAAGAGAUAAUACCAAGUGUUACUGAGGCUACUAGGUUUUUGGAUCAGCUCCC